GAUCCCACUUCCCCUGGGAAAAGCCGCCCCCUUGCACACACCGUGUAAGGGACCUUGGAAACAGUGUCCCUGCCACCACUUCGGCUCUGCAGGAAGAGGAAAAUAAAAGCCUGUAAUCUCUAGCUGGCAGACACUGAGGAGAUAAGCUUCAGGUGCCUCCCGACGCUCACCGAGGAGUUUUGUUCUCCCACUUUAUCUCCACCUCCAGGUCCCAUCAUCCUGGGGCUCAGCACAGUUCCUGGGGGGAGUGCAGAGCGCUGCUGUCCCAUCCCUGCUCCGGACAGGGUGUCUGAGGGUGGGCUGUGAUCCCAAACCAUGCAGACAGCAGCGUGUUUCUCAAUGAUAACCCUUCUCCCAGCUGGUGCAGCUCAGCCACCACACGCAGACGCUGCUCCUGGACCACAAACCCAUCCUGGCACAAGCAUCCCUGGAAGGCCUUGAUAAUCAGGAAGAAACCAAUUUUCCCCACCUCCUCAGGCUGAACACCCGCAGUUCUACCAGAGCAGAG